rnacentral:misc_RNA from 1 species
UCUUCACAGAGCUAAGGAACAUCCUGAAAGCCAAAAAUCAAAUUGAAUAGUAAAAAAAUUAAUGUGAAUAUGCCAAACAAAAUCGCACUCAAGAAAAAUAAAAUUGCUGAAGCAUUAAAUUGUCAAGAAAACAUAAAGAAAGUACAAAAAAAGAAAUAAAGUAUGUAAUUAUAUUCCUCUUCUUCCCUUUUCUUUAUCUUUCAUUUAUUCCUUUGCUGUGUUUCUCCCAAUUCUUUCAUUACUUGCCCACUUUUUCCCGAUUGUAAACAAAAUGGCUCAAAAUAAGCUAAAAAUGCUUAAGCAUUAAUUUGUCAAGAAAGCAUAAGCAAAUGCAAAAGAAAAAAAAAAGAGAAGAUGCUACCAAAAAAAUAAAAAAAGAGCAAGCAUAAAGAAAGUACAAAAGAAAAUCAAAAGUAUGUAUCUAUAUUAUUCUUCUUUUUCCCUUUUCUUUUCCUUUCACUUAUUCCUUUGUUCUGUUUCUCCUCCGAAUUCCUUAUUUUCUUAUCUACUUUUUCCCCACUAAAUAUGGGGCACCAGUGCUCUCUCUAUAAAGAUGAAUAGCACCUAUGUGUUGGUAACUAGCACCAUGCCUUUUUUUUGCUGUCAUAAUCUGCAAAUCUGACAGAACAAUAUAGUAGCUCUGAUUUGCUUGCUUGCCACAAGGCCUUGGCUUUCAGCUUAGAAAAUAUUUUCAGACUUUUAUUGCGUCAGGUGUUAAACAUAAAUGAACAGAUGCAUAUGUUGAAUGGAAACAUACCCCCAAGGAACAUCUCCAACAAG